GAUGAAGAACGUAGCGAAAUGCGAUAGGUAAUGUGAAUUGCAGAAUUCAGUGAAUCAUCGAAUCUUUGAACGCACAUUGCGCCCGCCAGUAUUCUGGCGGGCAUGCCUGUUCGAGCGUCAUUACAACCCUCAGGCCCCCGGGCCUGGCGUUGGGGAUCGGCGGAGCCCCCCGUGGGCACACGCCGUCCCCCAAAUACAGUGGCGGUCCCGCCGCAGCUUCCAUCGCGUAGUAGCUAACACCUCGCGACUGGAGAGCGGCGCGGCCACGCCGUAAAACACCCAACUCUUCUGAAGUUGACCUCGAAUCAGGUAGGAAUACCCGCUGAACUUAAGCAUAUCAAUAAGCGGAGGA
rnacentral:misc_RNA from 1 species